AUGUUGCAAUAUUAUCGAUUGUCGUCGGAGGAAUGCUGUUUCUUGGCGGCGGACGAAGGGUUGGACGGAGGAGUGGAGCCCGACGAGGAGGGGAGUGAUGAUGCACAGAGGAUGACGAUGAUGAUUAAGGUGACGGAGGCUCCACCAGGUUUGAAUGCAAAAGAAAAAAUUCAAUUUCGAGUUGAUACAGUCCUGAUUUUGUAUUGA